GUUUCUUCUUUAUAGACUGGACCAACUGAUGCUCCUCGUUGUUUCCUCGUCGACGGUCUGCUGCCAUUGAACCACUGCGCUUUGUUACAGUUCGUCCAUCAGGAUACCAUCUGGGAUGAUGACCUUGAGGAAAUGCCAAGUUGACCUUUCAUAUUUGCGAAAGGUAUGCUAUUCUCCCCUUCUAAAUAUGAGUAAAUUUUGAACCCAAAUUUUCAACUUGCAGGUGGUGGUUUCCUGACAGCGAAGUCCUUCACAGUUUGCAUUGACGACGUUCCUCUCAUGCAAGCAUCCAGUCCUAGAGAGGCGUUCAAGAUAUUAUUCCUGGCAGACUUUGCGUCAACGUUGCCUACCCAAAAGAGGCAAGUCUUACUCUGGAGUUCACUCAUAGGUCACUUGCCACUGUCAGUCCCGGAAAGGGCACAAAGACUGAGCAUACACGAGGGAAACAGCACAUGAACCCGAAAGUGGC